rnacentral:rRNA from 1 species
AACGAACGCUGGCGGCAGGCUUAACACAUGCAAGUCGAACGCCCCGCAAGGGGAGUGGCAGACGGGUGAGUAACGCGUGGGAACAUACCCUUUCCUGCGGAAUAGCUCUGGGAAACUGGAAUUAAUACCGCAUACGCCCUACGGGGGAAAGAUUUAUCGGGGAAGGAUUGGCCCGCGUCGGAUUAGCUAGUUGGUGGGGUAAAGGCCUACCAAGGCGACGAUCCAUAGCUGGUCUGAGAGGAUGAUCAGCCUCAUUGGGACUGAGACACGGCCCAAACUCCUACGGGAGGCAGCAGUGGGGAAUAUUGGACAAUGGGCGCAAGCCUGAUCCAGCCAUGCCGCGUGAGUGAUGAAGGCCUUAGGGUUGUAAAGCCCUUUCACCGAUGAAGAUAAUGACGGUAGUCGGAGAAGAAGCCCCGGCUAACUUCGUGCCAGCCGCCGCAGUAAGAC